GUCGAGCGGACAGAUGGGAGCUUGCUCCCUGAUGUUAGCGGCGGACGGGUGAGUAACACGUGGGUAACCUGCCUGUAAGACUGGGAUAACUCCGGGAAACCGGGGCUAAUACCGGAUGCUUGUUUGAACCGCAUGGUUCAAACAUAAAAGGUGGCUUCGGCUACCACUUACAGAUGGACCCGCGGCGCAUUAGCUAGUUGGUGAGGUAACGGCUCACCAAGGCGACGAUGCGUAGCCGACCUGAGAGGGUGAUCGGCCACACUGGGACUGAGACACGGCCCAGACUCCUACGGGAGGCAGCAGUAGGGAAUCUUCCGCAAUGGACGAAAGUCUGACGGAGCAACGCCGCGUGAGUGAUGAAGGUUUUCGGAUCGUAAAGCUCUGUUGUUAGGGAAGAACAAGUGCCGUUCAAAUAGGGCGGCACCUUGACGGUACCUAACCAGAAAGCCACGGCUAACUACGUGCCAGCAGCCGCGGUAAUACGUAGGUGGCAAGCGUUGUCCGGAAUUAUUGGGCGUAAAGGGCUCGCAGGCGGUUUCUUAAGUCUGAUGUGAAAGCCCCCGGCUCAACCGGGGAGGGUCAUUGGAAACUGGGGAACUUGAGUGCAGAAGAGGAGAGUGGAAUUCCACGUGUAGCGGUGAAAUGCGUAGAGAUGUGGAGGAACACCAGUGGCGAAGGCGACUCUCUGGUCUGUAACUGACGCUGAGGAGCGAAAGCGUGGGGAGCGAACAGGAUUAGAUACCCUGGUAGUCCACGCCGUAAACGAUGAGUGCUAAGUGUUAGGGGGUUUCCGCCCCUUAGUGCUGCAGCUAACGCAUUAAGCACUCCGCCUGGGGAGUACGGUCGCAAGACUGAAACUCAAAGGAAUUGACGGGGGCCCGCACAAGCGGUGGAGCAUGUGGUUUAAUUCGAAGCAACGCGAAGAACCUUACCAGGUCUUGACAUCCUCUGACAAUCCUAGAGAUAGGACGUCCCCUUCGGGGGCAGAGUGACAGGUGGUGCAUGGUUGUCGUCAGCUCGUGUCGUGAGAUGUUGGGUUAAGUCCCGCAACGAGCGCAACCCUUGAUCUUAGUUGCCAGCAUUCAGUUGGGCACUCUAAGGUGACUGCCGGUGACAAACCGGAGGAAGGUGGGGAUGACGUCAAAUCAUCAUGCCCCUUAUGACCUGGGCUACACACGUGCUACAAUGGGCAGAACAAAGGGCAGCGAAACCGCGAGGUUAAGCCAAUCCCACAAAUCUGUUCUCAGUUCGGAUCGCAGUCUGCAACUCGACUGCGUGAAGCUGGAAUCGCUAGUAAUCGCGGAUCA
rnacentral:rRNA from 1 species